rnacentral:rRNA from 1 species
UACAGAGGGGGCGAGCGUUGUUCGGAAUUACUGGGCGUAAAGGGCGCGUAGGCGGCCAACUAAGUCGGACGUGAAAUCCCCAGGCUCAACCUGGGAACUGCGUCCGAUACUGAUUGGCUCGAGUUCGGGAGAGGGAAGUGGAAUUCCAGGUGUAGCGGUGAAAUGCGUAGAUAUCUGGAGGAACACCGGUGGCGAAGGCGGCUUCCUGGACCGACACUGAUGCUGAGGCGCGAAAGCCAGGGGAGCAAACGGG